GCGUAUGCAACCUGCCCUUCACAGGGGGAUAACCGGGAGAAAUUCCGACUAAUACCGCAUACGUCCUCCGGGGGCAUCCCCGGGGGAUGAAAGAAUUAUCGGUGAAGGAUGGGCAUGCGUGAUAUUAGGUAGUUGGCGGGGCAACGGCCCACCAAGCCCACGAUAUCUAGGGGUUCUGAGAGGAAGGUCCCCCACAUUGGUACUGAGACACGGACCAAACUCCUACGGGAGGCAGCAGUGAGGAAUAUUGGUCAAUGGACGAGAGUCUGAACCAGCCAAGUCGCGUGAAGGAAGACGGAUCUAUGGUUUGUAAACUUCUUUAGUGCGGGAACAAAGCGGCGUCGUGACGCCUGAUGAGUGUACCGCAAGAAUAAGCAUCGGCUAACUCCGUGCCAGCAGCCGCGGUAAUACGGAGGAUGCGAGCGUUAUCCGGAUUUAUUGGGUUUAAAGGGAGCGCAGGCUGCGAGGCAAGUCAGCGGUCAAAUGUCGGGGCUCAACCCCGGCCUGCCGUUGAAACUGUCCUGCUAGAGUUCGAGUGAGGUAUGCGGAAUGCGUUGUGUAGCGGUGAAAUGCAUAGAUAUGACGCAGAACUCCGACUGCGAAGGCAGCAUACCAACUCGCGACUGACGCUGAGGCUCGAAAGCGUGGGUAUCGAACAGGAUUAGAUACCCUGGUAGUCCACGCAGUAAACGAUGAAUACUAACUGUUCGGAGGGCGACCUCUGAGUGGUAA
rnacentral:rRNA from 1 species